GGUUCAUUCAAAUUUCUGCCCUAUCAACUUUCCAUGGUAAGGUAUUGGCUUACCAUGGUUUCAACGGGUAACGGGGAAUUAGGGUUCGAUUCCGGAGAGGGAGCCUGAGAAACGGCUACCACAUCCAAGGAAGGCAGCAGGCGCGCAAAUUACCCAAUCCCGACCGGGGAGGUAGUGACAAUAAAUACUGAUACAGGGCUCUUUUGGGUCUUGUAAUUGGAAUGAGUACAAUUUAAACCUCUUAACGAGGAACAAUUGGAGGGCAAGUCUGGUGCCAGCAGCCGCGGUAAUUCCAGCUCCAAUAGCGUAUAUUAAAGUUGUUGAGGUUAAAAAGCUCGUAGUUG
rnacentral:rRNA from 1 species